GGAGGAAAGUAGGGGAUCGAAAGAACUUGCGCUAAAGGAGCGGCCGAUGUCUGAUUAGCUAGUUGGUGGGGUAAAGGCUUACCAAGGCAACGAUCAGUAGUUGGUCUGAGAGGACGACCAACCACACUGGGACUGAGACACGGCCCAGACUCUACGGGAGGCAGCAGUGGGGAAUUUUGGACAAUGGGCGAAAGCCUGAUCCAGCCAUGCCGCGUGAGUGAAGAAGGCUUCGGGUUGUAAAGCUCUUUUAGUCGGAAAGAAAGAAUUAUGACGAAUAAUCAUGAUUUAUGACGGUACCGACAGAAAAAGCACCGGCUAACUACGUGCCAGCAGCCGCGGUAAUACGUAGGGUGCGAGCGUUAAUCGGAAUUACUGGGCGUAAAGGGUGCGCAGGCGGUUUUGUAAGUCAGAUGUGAAAGCCCCGGGCUUAACCUGGGAAUUGCGUUUGAAACUGCAAGGCUAGAGUGCAGCAGAGGGGAGUGGAAUUCCAUGUGUAGCAGUGAAAUGCGUAGAGAUGUGGAAGAACCCGAUGGCGAAGGCAGCUCCCUGGGUUG
rnacentral:rRNA from 1 species